rnacentral:rRNA from 1 species
GGCUAGCGUUGCUCGGAAUGACUGGGCGUAAAGGGCGCGUAGGCGGUUUGUACAGUCAGAUGUGAAAUUCCCGGGCUCAACCUGGGGGCUGCAUUUGAUACGUGCGGACUUGAGUGGGGAAGAGGGUCGUGGAAUUCCCAGUGUAGAGGUGAAAUUCGUAGAUAUUGGGAAGAACACCGGUGGCGAAGGCGGCGACCUGGUCCUUGACUGACGCUGAGGCGCGAAAGCGUGGGGAGCAAACAGG